rnacentral:rRNA from 1 species
AUGACCGUCCCCGAGCCGGAGAUGCCGGCGUCGGCGCGCAGGCGUUUGUUCCUCGCCAGGUUCGACGCGCUCAUCUUCCUGCAUUGCGGGCUGCUCUGGGUUCUCUGCGCGGUGUACCUCGCCUUGGUCAUCGCGCGUCUUGCCCUGGGUCAGCUCGAGAUUCCCCCCGCGCUCUGGGCGGCGUCCUGGGUCUGCGCCUACAUCGUUCUGUGUCUCACCCCCGUUUCCACGUUCCUCGUCGGCGCGCGCUCCUCGCGCUCCUUGCGCUCCCCGUACGACACCACCGACGCCAACAAGGUAUCGCGGAAGAACUUCCCUUUCGCCUCUGAAUAUGACCCUGCCAUGAUUGGAGUCCUCGUUUCGGCCGCCUUCAUGCUGCUCGCAAUUGAUUAUGAUAAGGUGGUGGGUCUGUUGGGUGUGGAAGGAUGUCAGAGGGAACGGAUUGGUUCAAUAGUGAGGGAUGUGGGGUUAAUGGGUGGUAUUGCAACAUGUUGUUUCGUCACCUUACCCACUAUGAUACUGAGGCAGUGGAGGAUGAAGAUGAAGUAG